UACGAAGGGUGCAAGCGUUACUCGGAAUUACUGGGCGUAAAGGGUGCGUAGGUGGUUUGUUAAGUCUGCUGUGAAAUCCCCGGGCUCAACCUGGGAAUGGCAGUGGAUACUGGCAAGCUAGAGUGCGGUAGAGGGUAGUGGAAUUCCCGGUGUAGCAGUGAAAUGCGUAGAGAUCGGGAGGAACACCAGUGGCGAAAGCACUCUGCUGGGCCGACACUGACACUGAGAGACGAAAGCUAGGGGAGCGAAUGGG
rnacentral:rRNA from 1 species